GACGAACGCUGGCGGCGUGCUUAACACAUGCAAGUCGAACGGAAAGGCCUGCUUUCCCUUGUGGAUUGCGGGUACUCGAGUGGCGAACGGGUGAGUAACACGUGAGUGAUCUGCCCCCAACUUGGGUAUAAGCCUGGGAAACUGGGUCUAAUUCCCGAUAGGACUGCAGGGUGGUGCCUGUGGUGGAAAACGAUUUUCUAGUGGUUGGGGAUGAGCUCGCGGCCUAUCAGCUUGUUGGUGGGGUAAUGGCCUACCAAGGCGGCGACGGGUAGCCGGCCUGAGGGGGUGGACGGCCACAUUGGGACUGAGAUACGGCCCAGACGCCUACGGGAGGCAGCAGUGGGGAAUAUUGCACAAUGGGCGGAAGCCUGAUGCAGCGACGCCGCGUGGGGGAUGACGGCCUUCGGGUUGUAAACUCCUUUCGACCGCGAGGAAGCCACCUGGUUGGAGGGGUGGUGACGGUAGUGGUAGAAGAAGCACCGGCUAACUACGUG
rnacentral:rRNA from 1 species